CUGCAUACCGCCCUGAAUGUAUUCUACGUCAUCUGAUCUUGCAAGCUAAGCAGGGUAGGUAGGCUCUAGUGAGUACUUGGAUGGGACACCUGAAAUAAUUUAUUGAAAUAGA
rnacentral:rRNA from 1 species